UUAUGUUGGCCAACCUUGAAAUAUUUUAGCUCAUUCGUUCAAUCUCGUUCAUUUCUGCUACUAAUUCGGCUAAAAACACAUAUCUUAAAGCAGUGAGAACGUCAUUAAAAAAAAGUUAUGUCAAUUUUGUUGACAUUACAUGACUGCUUGAUUGUAUUUGUUUGUGUUUUUAAAAUUGUAUUUUUAUGUUUCCAGUCUUAUUUUUAAUAUUUCUAAAGUACGGAAAAUAUCAAACGAAGAGAUAACCAAGUUAAAGAAAAACAAUGAAGAAUUCCUAAUCAUACCGAUAGUAUUAAAGAAUGAAGUCUUCAAAAUUAACAGAAUAACCGAACUCCACUACCUACCCCAUAAUGCGAGGUUUACAGUAAUUAUUCAACUUACAUGAAGCAGUCAGAAAGUUUAUUGAGAUUUGAGAAAUAAAGUUACACUCAUAGGUAGCAAAACAGUGGAUGAAGAAGUGUGGGAUUAUGAGUGAUUAUUUCAUUCUAAAGCAGACAUAAUCAAGUCUUGCUCACUAUCAUGAAAAUUUACAAUAACAAUCAGCAAGAAAAACUUCAAGGGUACUGGCUAGGCUAACCAAUUCAUGGAAUUCUGUUUGUAUUUGAAAUUAUAAAUAGCUAUUGUAAAACAAAAGUUUUCCAAAUAAAGAUUUUGUAAAUAA